GACGAACGCUGGCGGCGUGCCUAACACAUGCAAGUCGAGCGAGAGACUUCGGUCUCUAGCGGCGGACGGGUGAGUAACACGUGGGUAACCUGCCUCAUAGAGGGGGAUAGCCUCCCGAAAGGGAGAUUAAUACCGCAUAUUAUUAUCUUUGCGCAUGCACAGGAUAAUGAAAGGAGAAAUCCGCUAUGAGAUGGACCCGCGGCGCAUUAGCUAGUUGGUGAGGUAACGGCUCACCAAGGCGACGAUGCGUAGCCGACCUGAGAGGGUGAUCGGCCACAUUGGAACUGAGACACGGUCCAGACUCCUACGGGAGGCAGCAGUGGGGAAUAUUGCACAAUGGGCGAAAGCCUGAUGCAGCAACGCCGCGUGAGUGAAGAAGGCCUUCGGGUUGUAAAGCUCUGUCUUUUGGGACGAUAAUGACGGUACCAAAGGAGGAAGCCACGGCUAACUACGUGCCAGCAGCCGCGGUAAUACGUAGGUGGCAAGCGUUGUCCGGAUUUACUGGGCGUAAAGGAUGCGUAGGUGGAUAUUUAAGUGGGAUGUGAAAUACCCGGGCUCAACUUGGGUGCUGCAUUCCAAACUGGAUAUCUAGAGUGCGGGAGAGGAGAGUGGAAUUCCUAGUGUAGCGGUGAAAUGCGUAGAGAUUAGGAAGAACACCAGUGGCGAAGGCGACUCUCUGGACCGUAACUGACACUGAGGCAUGAAAGCGUGGGGAGCAAACAGGAUUAGAUACCCUGGUAGUCCACGCCGUAAACGAUGGGUACUAGGUGUGGGAGUUGUCAUGACUUCCGUGCCGUCGUUAACACAGUAAGUACCCCGCCUGGGGAGUACGGUCGCAAGAUUA
rnacentral:rRNA from 1 species